rnacentral:rRNA from 1 species
UACGUAGGGGGCAAGCGUUGUCCGGAUUUAUUGGGCGUAAAGAGCGUGUAGGCGGCUUGGUAGGUCCGCUGUGAAAACUCGAGGCUCAACCUCGAGAUGUCGGCGGAAACCACUUGGCUAGAGUCCGGAAGAGGAGAGUGGAAUUCCUGGUGUAGCGGUGAAAUGCGUAGAUAUCGGAAGGAACAUCAGUGGCGAAAGCGACUUCCUGGACCAGUACCGACGUUCAGGCACGAAAGCGUGGGGAGCAAACAGG